rnacentral:rRNA from 1 species
UACGGAGGAUCCAAGCGUUAUCCGGAAUCAUUGGGUUUAAAGGGUCCGUAGGCGGUUUAAUAAGUCAGUGGUGAAAUCUGGGCGCUCAACGAUCAAACGGCCAUUGAUACUGUUAGACUUGAAUUACUGGGAAGUAACUAGAAUAUGUAGUGUAGCGGUGAAAUGCUUAGAUAUUACAUUGAAUUCCAAUUGCGAAGGCAGGUUACUACCAGUGGAUUUACGCUGAUGGACGAAAGCGUGUGGAGCGAACAGG